GUUUGGUGUGAAAUCUCCCGGCUUAACCGGGAGGGUGCGCCGAAUACUGAGGGACUAGAGUGCGGGAGAAGAAAGUGGAAUUCCUGGUGUAACGGUGAAAUGCCUAAAUAUCAAGAAGAACACCGGUGGUGUAAACCGCUUUCUGGACCGUAACUGACCCUGAAACCCCAAAGCGUGGGUAACAAACAGGAAUAAAUACCCUGGUAAUCCCCCCCCUAAACCAAGCAUAUUUGGUGUGGGUCAUUUCAUUGAUCCCUGCCCGAACUAACGCCUUAAAUAUGCCCCCUGGGGAAUACCGUCCCCAGGGUUAAACUCCAAAGAAUUUACCGGGGCCCCCCCCAACCGUGGAACCUGUGGUUCCAUUUCACCCCACCCCAAAAACCUUACCUGGGCUCCAACGGCUUCCCCACCGCUGGGGAAACCUGGCUACCCCCCCAGGGGGUGGAAUCCAAGUGCUUCCUGGCUGUCCUCCACUCCUGGCCUGAAAAGGUUGGUUUAAUUCCCCCACCAACCCCACC
rnacentral:rRNA from 1 species